rnacentral:tRNA from 1 species
GCACAUGUGGCGGAAUGGCAUACGCGCUAGAUUGAGGUUCUAGUCUCCUUCGGGGGGUGCAGGUUCGACUCCUGUCAUGUGCAC